rnacentral:lncRNA from 1 species
CUUGUUUUCAGUAUUCACUGAGAGAAACAGAGCCUUGUGCAAACAAUCCACAACACGACGUACCCCUCAUAAAGCUUUGUUUCUGUAUUGCAGGUGGUGCAGGUGGUCCCUCUGAGGUUUGACUCUACCCCCUGUGGGGACCCUAUACAGGACAUCUCUGACGAAGACACUGUAUAUGACAUCUGCGAUGAGGACGCCGUAGACAUCUGUAAUGAGGACACUGUGGACAUCUCUAAUGAGGCUGCUGUACCUGACAUCUUUUUUUUUUUUUUUUUUUUUUUUUUUCUGAGACGGAGUCACCAUCUGUCGCCCAGGCUGGAGUACAGUGGCGGGAUCUCGGCAUGCUGCAGCUCUGCCUCGGGUUCACGCCAUUCUCCUGCCUCCAGCCUCCCGAGAGUAGCUGGGACUACAGAAGCUCCGCCACCUGGCAGCUAGUUUUGCCAUUUUUAGUAGGGCGGGGUUUCACCAUGUUAGCCAGGAUGGUCUCGAUCUCCUGACCUUGAUCCGCCCGUCUCGGCCUCCCAAAGUGCUGGGAUUACAGGCGAGCCACGGCGCCCGGCCUGUACCUGACAUCUUGAAUGACGCUGGAGACAUCUGUAAUGAGGCUGCUAUAAGUGACAUCGCGAGUGAGAAUGCUGAACACAUGUGUAAGGAGGACACUGCAGGAAACAUUUCUAAUGAGGACAUUGUUUACAACAUAACUAAUGAGGGCUAGACAGCACACCUGUGAAGAAGGCAGCUGCCAAGGUAAGACACUUUUCUUUGUCUUGAACCGAAAUGUUACUUUCCUGACUUCUUUCCAAUCAGAUGUAGACAUGAACAUCUGCCAAUGUGCAUUAUUUAUGACAUCUGCAAUGCCCUUGGUGUGGUGCUAUUGAUUGGCAACCUCUCUCACCAACCCAUGCAGACUGCAGGCGUGGUAGAUGGCGGCAUCCACGAUCCACUGCAAUGCAGAGUGUUUCCCUCCACAGCAGUUUCCCCGUGGAUUAAGAGUUAUUGACUACCCAUUUAAAUAUACUUUAAAGGUAAAUUCUGUGGGAAAAGGUCUUGUCUUUUCCAUAGGUGUCCUCUGUGCUAAUUUUGGGGGACUUUGACCUUUGACUCAAUCACUAUACCCUUUCUAAUUUUCCCAAGUUGUUGAGAGAGAAUAUCAGAUUAUUAUUGGCGUGCAUGCCAUCAUUUCACCCUCCUAAUGUUUUCUUUUCUUUAAUUGCAGGAGCCAUUUAUAUUGGAAGCGGUAUGUACACAAUAUCACUUCCUGAGGAAGCAGCUGUCUAUAGGAGUAUAGAAACCUGAUUCUGGGCUCCUUUUGGGAAGGAGGAUUUGGGAUCUGGUGAGAGCAGAUGAUUUUGCAAGUAUAAAACAAUGUCCAGAGAAGGCUGGAGGGAUGUCUGUGAACCAGAGGAAACACCAGGGAUCCUGUGUAGCUUACCCGGGGCUUCAGCUGAAAUUAGGAGAAUUAG